rnacentral:rRNA from 1 species
UACGUAGGGUGCAAGCGUUAAUCGGAAUUACUGGGCGUAAAGCGUGCGCAGGCGGUUUUGUAAGUCUGUCGUGAAAGCCCCGGGCUCAACCUGGGAAUUGCGAUGGAGACUGCAUGGCUUGAAUCUGGCAGAGGGGGGUAGAAUUCCACGUGUAGCAGUGAAAUGCGUAGAGAUGUGGAGGAACACCGAUGGCGAAGGCAGCCCCCUGGGUCAAGAUUGACGCUCAUGCACGAAAGCGUGGGGAGCAAACAGG